rnacentral:rRNA from 1 species
UUAAGCAUGCUUGGGCGAGAGUAGUACUAGGAUGGGUGACCUCGUGGGAAGUCCUUGUGUUGCACCCC